AAUUUCAAAAAGUUAGAAACAUAAAUGUAAUAAUGAACAAGGGUUAUAAACAUUUCAUGCAAUUAAAAUUUGUUGCACUGGUAAUUUUUAUAUCGAGGAGUUGACAAAAAUCAGUCAAGUUGGAGCAUCAACCAGUUCCAAUUAUAUCUAAUUAAAUGUAAAAAAUAUGGUACCCAUUUAAUUAUUGUUCUUAUUAGAUAUUUUCAUCUAUCUAGACCGAUAUUUUACUAUGGUGUUAGAUAGCAUUAUUCUUUUAAAAAGCAUACAUUAUUCUUUUCUAGAUUCUCUUUAAUCAAACCAAAAUGAAAAAUGCAAAAAGAUGAUUCUUGAUGAGAAAUCUUGACAGCACUAAAAGUCCCUCGUGAAACGCUCGAAUGAUUUGAUAUCAGUUAUUCCUAUUUAUCUUUAUAUGAGUAGUGGAUUCCCAUAACAAGAGGGACAACAAAAAUGAAGGUCUUGCCUUUCUUUAUAUCUAUUUAUCCUCACAUAGAAAGUGGAUUCUCAUAACGAGAGAUACAUCAUGCCUUUCUUUAUCCCUGUUUAUCCUUUUAUACAUAAAGUUUAUUCUUAUGAUGAGAGAGACAAGGGAAUGCAAGUCGUGGAUAAAGCAUAAUAUUCACACAUUCGCCAUUGGUACAUGCAUUUCCAUAUCCUUAUAUAUACAUGAUAUUAUGACAAAGAGGGAUUCAUAGAGUGAGAGAGAUAAGGGAGAAGUAGAGGCGUUGAUACAAAGCACAAUGAUGCUGAAGUGGCAUGCACCUUAGCGCUUGGUUUGAACUUCAUAAAUUCAACAAUUAUGCUACACAGCAAGAGCAAGUGGAUACCAACACAGUAGCUUAUUAUUCAUAAAGAGAAAGAAGGGUGGUUAUCGACUUAUCCUCCAGGCUGCACAAUAUUUUCUCUCUCUCUCCCUCUCUCUCAAUAUGAUGAUCAUUACUUUUCCUUUAUCUAAUUAAGUAAAUAAGGUUAUCCCAUCUCUAACAAUAUAGAUGAGGUGGUUUAUCUACAUGUACAAAGGCUUAUUCAUACAAUGAUAAACAAUCUGUAAAUUUCAUUGAAGAUGAUGAUGAGCAAUUUAUAUGUUGGUUGCAUA